rnacentral:rRNA from 1 species
AUCUACGGCCAAGUUACCCUGAACAAGCCCAAUUCAGCCCGAUCUCGGAAGCUAAGCAGGGUCAGGCCUGGUUAGUACUUGGAUGGGAGACCACGUAGGAAGACCAGGUGCUAUAGGUG